ensembl:lncRNA
AGGAGAAGGAGUACGAACAGAGUUAUCCACAGUGUAGAAACAAGUAAUAUGAAGUGUUCCAGGAGAACUUCGUCCUGUCCACCUGAUCAUUCUACCCAGAGAGAGACAACACAAAUCUAAAACUCUCUCCAUCAUGUCAGCUCUCAGUCACUGGUUCUGAACUGAUCAGGUGGACAGGACGAAGUUCUCCUGGAACACUUCAUAUUACUUGUUUCUACACUGUGGAUAACUCUGUUCGUACUCCUUCUCCUCACUCUCUCCCAGCUCCAGUCACAGUGCUGAAUCAGAAACCGAGACUAAGCGUCAGUCAUGAUGGUCAGUUUGAUGAAUUGAGAUUUGUGUGUGAAAUAUCAGGGUCAGAGUCAGUAACUGCUGAUUUUAGCUGUAAUCUCUACACUGGAGAAAAUCCUCAGCUUUUCCUAAACCAAACAUCUCAAAAGAGAAAAUCUGGGAAGGUUUGUAGUUUUACAGCACAGAGAGACGCUGUGUUUAAUCGUCUGCAGUCAGUAAAGAGUCGUGAAGUGAGCUGUGAUUAUUCACUGAUCUCUGACCCGACUGCUCGCUCUCUAAUGAGUGAUAAAUACAACAUGACGC